rnacentral:lncRNA from 1 species
CCAGUGUUAGUCCCUACAGUUAUAGUGUCAUCUUAUCAGUGGACUGGCAUGUUUUACAUAGAUUUCCCCUUGCCGGAUCUCGCCCGGGCGAAUCCUUGGUACGCAGCGAAGCAAAACAAUCACUGGUAUGCGCGGUCGCUCAAUCCAGCAAUAGUGGUGUGGACGAUGCGGCGGUGACAAGUAGAAUUUGACAGCGGUUCCAAAGGGACCCCCCUGUCGAAUUCAGAGCAUUCAGCAGGCAAAGAUGAUGCACAAGCCCCUGGCUCUGGCUGCACCAACAGGUAUACAUAUGCGGGGCUGUAUUCCUACUUGGAACAUAUAUUAAUUCUGAAUGGUCUGCGUGAUUUUAGUGCUCUGAAUUAUAGUGAACUCUUUAGCUCCUGAGCAUGACGGUCUGGGUUUAGAACAGAAUUGAGUUCAACAAGCCAAAAGGUACAGAAUUGAGUGUGUUCCUGAACCGCAAAAGUAUACGGGAGUGAUGCUCUAACAGUUGGAAAUUUCAUUGGUUUAGCAGCUCUGGAACGCAAACGGAAGGCCGGUUGACUAACAGCAGCAGAGACAAGCCUCCAUAUGAUGAUCACAGUGCAAAGAGCAAAAAAAGUAAGUUUGUGCCUCAUCUGGAUACUGUUGAGGGAUAUGGUACAAGCAAACGAACACGUUUCUGCAGUAUAUGUUGUGAACCAGGGCAAGAGCACAACAUGUCUACUGUUAGAGCAGAGUUAAAAGCACUGUUUUCUGUUAAAAAACACCCUUUAGUCCAGUAGUUAGCAAAAUCGUAGCUUCUUCUGGCUUGCUUAUAAAUAUCUUGGCUAUGUUUUACAUUCAAGCUACCCAUUAAUUCUAUGUUGUAGCAUGUACCUUUUUUAGGACAGAUGUUUGCUAAAAUUAUUGUACCAAAUAUUCUGGGUGAUGUUCUAUAUGCUCAUUGUUAAAACUUUAUAAUGAAAGUAUUUUUCUUCUCAAGGCAAUCGGUACAGACAUGAUUACAAAAACUGGUUGGGGUUUUCCCAUCUUAACAAAUAUUCAUAUUUUCCUUUGCAAACAAAAAGGAUAUUUCGCUUCACAAAAAAAAUUACUUUCACCUCACUUGCCUCCAUAAAUUUUUUAUAUAAAUUUCUACUAUUCUUUGCUUUUAUAAAAUCCUGACUUUUAUUGCCAAAAUUGACAUGCGCGGCUAGUAGCACACUCGUGGAUGUGCAAAGAAAGUAAUUGUCCUUGUUCUUUGUGCAAUCAUUUUCAGGGCAAGCCAAAAAGGAGUAACACACGGUCUUGUCGCUGCGAGUGCCCUGCAAUGAUACGGUUGCUGCGGUCGAACGACAACGGCUGGCACAUAAGCGAGCACAGGCCAUCGCACAACAAUUUCUUCGGUUCAACGAGCAAUGCGCCUUUCAGCAAAAGGGCCUUGAGGGGACUGUGUGGGGAAAUCAUCAGAGAUUAGCUUCAGUUUGUUCAACAUAAUAUAUCAUCUUAUGUUAUUUGAGACAAUUAGUACCAUCUAAUGGUGGCUACGCAUGUUCUUCGAUAUUACUGCACCUUGUAGUUGCAUGGUGAUUUGAACAAAAAUGGACUUUCAUGUGCAGAUAUUCCUAAAUAUUACUAAACCUUCUAGUUGUAAGGUGAUUUGAACAAAUGGAUUUUCAGGGCAAGCUUCAGUUGAUUUUCCUAAGCCCAUUUUUGAAAAGAG